rnacentral:tRNA from 1 species
AAUAAGGUGCCUGAUAAAAGGAUUAUUUUGAUAGAAUAAAUUAUGUGAGCCUCUCACCCUCAUUA